UCCGUUGUCAUCUAGUCUGGUCAGGAUAUCUGGGUCUGGCCCAGAUGACCGGGGUUCAAAUCCCGGCAACGGAU
rnacentral:tRNA from 1 species